rnacentral:rRNA from 1 species
AUGGGGUGGAAGGGCGUCCUGGGGUUCGACUACGGCGUCGUGCAGGCACCGCUCGGCCCCGACAUCUCCGGCCCGGAGCUCGCCGCCGCCGUCGCCAACGCUGGCGCCAUAGGCCUCCUCCGCCUUCCUGACUGGUCGGCGCCGGACCACGUGAGGGAGCUGAUACGGAGGACCAGGAGCCUGACCGAGAAGCCAUUCGGGGCGGCCAUCGUGCUGGCCUUCCCGCACGAGGAGAAUCUGAGGGUCGUGCUGGAGGAGAAGAUCGCCGUGCUGCAGGUGUACUGGGGCGAGUUCCCCAAGGAGCGGGUCGACGAGGCCCACCGCGCCGGCGUCAAGGUCUUGCAUCAGGUUGGUAACCUUGAGGAGGCAGCAAAAGCUAAGGAAGCUGGUGUAGAUGGAAUUAUCGUUCAAGGCCGUGAAGCAGGGGGGCAUGUGAUUGGUCAAGAGGGUCUGCUACCAUUGCUGCCGAGAGUAGUAGAUCUAGUUUCGGAUAGUACUAUUUCAGUUAUCGCCGCUGGUGGAAUUGUAGAUGGCCGUGGCUACGCUGCUGCAUUGGCACUUGGUGCUCAUGGUGUUUGCUUAGGAACUAGGUUUGUAGCCACCGAGGAAAGCUUUGCGCAUCCGCUGUAUAAGAAAAAGCUAAUUGAGAUGAAUUGCACGGACUGUACAACUGUGUUCGGGCGUGCUAGAUGGCCUGGUGCUCCACAACGUAAUCUUCCAGAUCAUGAAACAGAGGAAAAUCAGCCUAUUAUAGGUCAUUCUAUCAUCCAUGGUGUGCACAAGGAUAUACAUCGGUUUGCUGGUACUGUUCCUAAUGCGACAACAACAGGCGAUAUCGAUAGCAUGGCCAUGUAUGCUGGCCAGGGUGUUGGGCUAAUCACGGAGAUUGUACCAGCAAGGGAAGUUGUCAAGAGGCUAGUUGUCGAAGCACAGCGCGUCAUUGGAGAAAAGCUUUCUGGUUUCCCCAAAUCAUCAGAGUAG